rnacentral:rRNA from 1 species
AACGAACGCUGGCGGCAUGCCUAACACAUGCAAGUCGAACGAAGCCUUCGGGCUUAGUGGCGCACGGGUGCGUAACGCGUGGGAAUCUGCCCUUGGGUUCGGAAUAACAGUUAGAAAUGACUGCUAAUACCGAAUGAUGUCUUCGGACCAAAGAUUUAUCGCCCAAGGAUGAGCCCGCGUCGGAUUAGCUAGUUGGUGAGGUAAGGGCUCACCAAGGCGACGAUCCGUAGCUGGUCUGAGAGGAUGAUCAGCCACACUGGGACUGAGACACGGCCCAGACUCCUACGGGAGGCAGCAGUGGGGAAUAUUGGACAAUGGGCGAAAGCCUGAUCCAGCAAUGCCGCGUGAGUGAUGAAGGCCUUAGGGUGUAAAGCUCUUUUACCCGGGAUGAUAAUGACAGUACCGGGAGAAUAAGCCCCGGCUAACUCCGUGCCAGCAGCCGCGGUAAU